CAGCCGCCGCGGGAAUACGAAGGGUGCAAGCGUUACUCGGAAUUACUGGGCGUAAAGCGUGCGUAGGUGGUGGUUUAAGUCCGUUGUGAAAGCCCUGGGCUCAACCUGGGAAUUGCAGUGGAUACUGGAUCACUAGAGUGUGGUAGAGGAUAGUGGAAUUUCCGGUGUAGCAGUGAAAUGCGUAGAGAUCGGAAGGAACACCUGUGGCGAAGGCGACUAUCUGGGCCAACACUGACACUGAGGCACGAAAGCGUGGGGAGCAAACAGGAUUAGAUACCCGGGUAGUCCCUGUCUCUUAUAC
rnacentral:rRNA from 1 species